UACGAAGGUCCCAAGCGUUAUCCGGAUUUAUUGGGCUUAAAGGGUGCGUAGGCGGGCUAUUAAGUCAGUGGUGAAAGCCUUCAGCUUAACUGAAGAACUGCCAUUGAUACUGAUGAUCUUGAGUAUGAUUGAGGUGGGCGGAAUGUGUCAUGUAGCGGUGAAAUGCUUAGAUAUGACACAGAACACCGAUUGCGAAGGCAGCUCACUAAGCCAUAACUGACGCUGAUGCACGAAAGCGUGGGGAGCAAACAGG
rnacentral:rRNA from 1 species